UUGUUUAAUUUAUUUUGAGUCUAAGGCCCAUGUAUAUGAAUUGUGGUAUAUAGUUAUAGGAUUAAAUUAUUAUGUCCUUAAGCCCAUAUAAUUAUAGGCUUGAGUUUUAUUUUUGUAUUAAGGCCCAUUUUAGUUAGCUGCAGCGUGAGAGAAAAAAAAAUGAUUACAAUCUGACAAGAAUCAGAUUUCUUUUCUGCUAUAGCGUAUGUCAGUUUCUUUUCUGCUACAGCGUAUUUUCAUCUCCCGAGAAAUCUUCAAAAUCUGCCCAAAAUCUUUUUACUUCCUACCGAGCCUUAUCUCUGCAACCUCUUCACUCUCUUUUUUUAAAACUCUCCCAAACCCAUCAGAACCUUCUCUGUCAUUUUCCAUCUCUGAAACUCUGUCAUUUUCUAUCUCUGAAUCUGCAAGAAUAUUUCUACCUCAAGAGUUCAUGACACUUAUCAAGGCAAGCAGAUACUACUACACAUUCAUCAAACAUUCACCAAAAUCCAACUGAACAAGGCCUUGAGGACCAGGAGGAUUAGCACUGCUUUCCCGUGACAGGUUUACGAUUAAACUACAGGCUUUGCCUAUUCAGGCCUUGAGGACCAGGAGGAUUAGCACUGCUUUCCCGUGACAGGUUUACGAUUAAACUACAGGCUUUGCCUAUUCAGGUUGAUCGGCUGGUGCAGACGGGGCUGAGCUGAGGCUGGGUACCACAAUGUCUUUUGCUUCCGCUAACGACUAGCUUGUCAUUUCGUCUGUUAAAUUCUCUAAACUUAGAAUUUCUAUUAUGUGGUACAAUAUUAUCUUAUUGGGCUUAAACUCUUAUCCUAUAUUUCUAUUAAUAAAGCUAUCUUUGAUUA